rnacentral:rRNA from 1 species
AGAGUUUGAUCCUGGCUCAGGACGAACGCUGGCGGUGUGCCUCACACAUGCAAGUCGAACGAGGUAGCAAUACCUAGUGGCGGACGGGUGAGUAACGCGUAGGAAUCUGCCUUUAGAUGGGGGAUAGCAGGCCGAAAGGCCUAUUAAUACCGCAUAUGUGUGCAUCCCGACAGGGGUGCACAUAAAAGGAGCAAUCCGUC